rnacentral:rRNA from 1 species
GCGGUGGAGCAUGUGGUUAAUUCGAUGCAACGCGAAGAACCUUACCUGGGCUUGACAGUCCCUGGAAUCCCCUGGAAACAGGGGAGUGCCCUUCGGGGAGCCAGGAGACAGGUGCUGCAUGGCUGUCGUCAGCUCGUGUCGUGAGAUGUUGGUUAAGUCCCGCAACGAGCGCAACCCUUGUCUUUAAUUGCCAUCAUUCAGUUGGGGCACUUUAAAGAGACUGCCGGUGUUAAACCGGAGAAGUGGGGAUGACGUCAAGUCCUCAUGGCCUUUAUGACCAGGGCUACACACGUACUACAAUGGCAGGUACAAAGGGCAGCCACUUAGCGAUAAGGCGCGAAUCCCGUAAAAACCUGUCUCAGUCCGGAUUGGAGUCUGCAACUCGACUCCAUGAAGUUGGAAUCGCUAGUAAUCGCAGAUCAGCACGCUGCGGUGAAUACGUUCCCGGGCCUU